rnacentral:rRNA from 1 species
GGGCGUCUCUUUCUCAUUACGAGUUGAGGCGCACCUAUAGCGCACACGCUGAUACCCGAAAGAUGGUGAACUAUGCCUGGCCAGGACGAAGCCAGGGGAAACCCUGGUGGAGGUCCGCAGCGAUUCUGACGUGCAAAUCGAUCGUCGGAGCUGGGUAUAGGGGCGAAAGACCAAUCGAACCAUCUAGUAGCUGGUUCCCUCUGAAGUUUCCCUCAGGAUAGCUUGCGCUCGGAGAGACGAGUCUCAUCCGGUAGAGCGAAUGAUUAGAGGCCUUGGGGUCGAAACGACCUCAACCUAUUCUCAAACUCCAAAUAGAUGAGAUCCCCGGCUUGCUUGAAAGUGAAGCCGGGAGACUCGGAUCGGAGUGCCAAGUGGGCCAAUUUU